rnacentral:rRNA from 1 species
UACAGAGGGUGCGAGCGUUAAUCGGAAUUACUGGGCGUAAAGCGUGCGUAGACGGUAGCGUAAGUCAGAUGUGAAAGCCCCGGGCUCAACCUGGGAAUUGCAUUUGAGACUGCUCUGCUCAGGUGCGGAAGAGGGAAGCGGAAUUUCCGGUGUAGCGGUGAAAUGCGUAGAUAUCGGAAGGAACACCAGUGGCGAAAGCGGCUUCCUGGUCCGACACCGACGUUCAGGCACGAAAGCGUGGGGAGCAAACAGG